rnacentral:rRNA from 1 species
GUCUACGGCCAUACCACCCUGAACGCGCCCGAUCUCGUCUGAUCUCGGAAGCUAAGCAGGGUCGGGCCUGGUUAGUACUUGGAUGGGAGAAUGAAAACAAACAAAUACAAACA